UACGGAGGGUGCGAGCGUUGUCCGGAUUUAUUGGGCGUAAAGAGCGUGUAGGCGGCCAGGUAGGUCAGCUGUGAAAACUCGAGGCUCAACCUCGAGACGUCGGUUGAAACCACCUGGCUAGAGUCCGGAAGAGGAGAGUGGAAUUCCUGGUGUAGCGGUGAAAUGCGCAGAUAUCAGGAAGAACACCCGUGGCGAAGGCGGCUCUCUGGGACGGUACUGACGCUGAGACGCGAAAGCGUGGGGAGCGAACAGG
rnacentral:rRNA from 1 species